rnacentral:rRNA from 1 species
UACAGAGGGGGCAAGCGUUGUUCGGAAUUACUGGGCGUAAAGGGCGCGUAGGCGGCCUGCUAAGUCGAACGUGAAAUCCCUGGGCUUAACCCAGGAACUGCGUCCGAUACUGGUUGGCUUGAAUCCGGGAGAGGGAUGUGGAAUUCCAGGUGUAGCGGUGAAAUGCGUAGAUAUCUGGAGGAACACCGGUGGCGAAGGCGACAUCCUGGACCGGUAUUGACGCUGAGGUGCGAAAGCGUGGGGAGCAAACAGG